rnacentral:rRNA from 1 species
GACGAACGCUGGCGGCGUGCUUAACACAUGCAAGUCGAACGGAAAGGCCCUGCUUUUGUUCGUUGCUCGAGUGUCGAACACGGGAGUAACACGUGAGUAACCUGCCCCUUACUUUGGGAUAACUUCAGUAAACUGGGGCUAUUACCCGAUAUGAGCUCCUGCUGCAUGUGUGGGGUUUGAAAGUUUCGGAGUUUGGGGAUGGACUCGCGGCUUAGCAGCUUGUUGGUGGGGUAGUGGAGUACAAGGGCUUUGACGGGUAGCCGGCCUGAGAGGGUGACAGGCCACAUUGGGCCUGGGGUAGGGGCAGGACUGCUACGGGAGGCAGCGGUGGGGAAUAUUGCAAAAUGGGCGGAAGCCUUAUGGAGCAACGCCGGGUGCGGGAUGACGGUCUUCGGGUUGUAACCCGCGUUCGCCUGUGACGAAGCGUGAGUGACGGUAAUGGAUAAAGAAGCACCGGCUAACUACGUG